rnacentral:rRNA from 1 species
GGAGGGGUGCGAGCGUUAAUCGGAAUUACUGGGCGUAAAGCGCGCGUAGGGCGGCUUGGUCAGUCGGGAUGUGAAAGCCCCGGGCUUAACCUGGGAAUUGCAUUCGAUACUGCCCAGACUAGAGUAUGGGAGAGGGAAGCGGAAUUUCCGGUGUAGCGGUGAAAUGCGUAGAUAUCGGAAGGAACACCAGUGGCGAAGGCGGCUUCCUGGCCCAAUACUGACGCUGAGGUGCGAAAGCGUGGGGAGCGAACAGGAUUAGAUACCCUGGUAGUCCACGCCGUAAACGAUGAGAACUAGAUGUCGGGAGGAUUUGCCUCUCGGUGUCGCAGCUAACGCGUUAAGUUCUCCGCCUGGGGAGUACGCCGGCAACGGUA